rnacentral:rRNA from 1 species
GACGAAGGGGGCUAGCGUUGUCCGGAAUCACUGGGCGUAAAGGGCGCGUAGGUGGUCUGAUAAGGGUGUGGUGAAAGCCCGGGGCUCAACCCCGGGUCGGCCGUGCCGACUGUUAGACUAGAGUGCUGUAGGGGCAGGCGGAAUUCCGGGUGUAGCGGUGGAAUGCGUAGAGAUCCGGAGGAAGACCGGUGGCGAAGGCGGCCUGCUGGGCAGAUACUGACACUGAGGCGCGACAGCGUGGGGAGCAAACAGG